ACUUAAUUAAUUUAUCAAACCUAUUUAACAUAUUAAAAGCAUAAUUAAUUUCUAUUUGAUAAAUUCAAUCAUAAGAAAAAAAAACUGUAGGUUGGGUGGUCGGUUCAAUAGCUUGACCGGACAUCGGGGCAAUUCAAGGCCUCUUAAUCGAGGAUCAGAUCUAGGUAACUCGAUUAAAGAAUCAUGAAGCAUGAAUUGAAAUCAAGGUAUCAAGGUCAAGAUCAAUCAACAGGCUCAUCAAUAGUAGGUUUUAAGGGUAUUUGAUAUGGUCGGGAUAGGGUCCGACAUGUUGCACGGAUAUCGAAGCAAUUUCGAAUUUUUUUGAAAACAUCAUCUUAGGUUUGUACAUGGAUCCAUGGAAGAGAAAAAUAUGACUCGGUACAGGAUUCAUAGAUCUUCUUAAAGAGAGUAGGUGAAGAGAGAAAAUAGAGAGUGGAGAGAAAAUCUUCGUAUUUCUCAAAAGAAGAAUCUAUGAUCAAGAUCAUCAGGGAUCAUAUCAUGGUGAUUCAAUGGAGGUUAACAGUGAUCGAAUUUAUAAAUAUCUGGCAAAGAUCGGAUUGGGAUCCGAUCCACUGCACGAAUAUCAAAGCAAUUUUGGGUCUCCUUGAAAAAUCAUCUUAGGUUCAUAGUGGGAUUUAUUGAUUAGUUAGAAAGAGAGGAGAGAAAUUCUAGAGAGAGAUAAGAGUGAAAAUCAUUUUUUUUUCUUCUUUUCUUUUCUUUUCUUCUUGGCUGAACAAAGGAGGGACACGAGGGGUGCCUGGUGGCUUGUGCUCUGACGAGGUGUGGUGGCACGAUUGGAGGUCCGGCAGCAGUGACUGACGGUCACAGGGUAAGGCGACAGUGCAUGGGUGGCCAGUGGCAAGGACCAAUCUGUAAGAAAUCAUGGGAAAAAAUAUCCAAAAAUAGAAAAUUAUUCUGUGGCAUUUUCCGGCCAAAUCGGUGGCCGUCGGUGAGCCCUGGGUCAAGGGAAGAAAGGGAAGAGGGAGAGGAAGAAGAAGGGGAGGGGCUUACCUUGAGCUCUGGCAAUGUCUCCGACGUCGAUUCAAGGUGAACACAGUGAGGGUGUCUACGGCUUCAAUAGAAAAAUCUUAGGAAAAGGGAGAGGGAGGGGAUCGGUGUUCAUCGUAGGUGGCUUUGGAGGGAGGGGAGGUUUUAUAGUGGAGGGGAGGUCGAUUCCUCCUCGAAAUCGGCUUCCUCAUCCAUUGAAAUCGUGCAGAAGACUCCCAGUGGGAGUCUUCAACCUUUUUUUUCCUUUUUUUCUUAGGGCUGCUUUAAGAUUCGGGUUAUCACAUUCUACCCCCUUUAAAAACAAGUUUCGUUUUCGAAAUUUGGCGUAUCUUCAUUUUCAAAUCAGUGAGGAUACUUUAUCUUCAUAUCAUCUUUAUCAUACUUUAGAUUAGUUUCCGUCAAUCCUAGUUUUCUUAUGAUGCAAUUCUUAAAUGAAGUAUCAGUGAGAAUAAAUUUUCUUAAGUGAAGCGAUCACAUACAGUAACUUAUUCAAUUCUUUGAAUAUGUAGUUAAAUUUGGAAAACACAAAAGAAUAAGAAAAUUAUAAUCAAACAACAUAUGGGCAUUUACGGGUUGUCUAGAAUCGUACUUGUAAUGACUUGAUCACCUGUAUUGGCAUCCUGCUCAGUCAAAGCAAAUACUGGCAGACUUAAGAGUCAUUCUUUUUAUUAAGACAAUCCCAUGCCAAAUGUCCCUUCUUGCCGCACUCAAAGCACAUUUCAUGUUUCUUAUAGCAAGGCCCACCAUGAUUUCUACCAUAAUACUCACAAGUCUUUGUGCCUUUCUUCUUAUUAGAGUUAUUCUCUAAGUUGUCAUGUUGGUUACUUCGAGUUUCUAGUGAUCUAGAUCUCUUCCUAUACUCCUUUUUUUGUUCUGAUCUUUUAAUAUCUGAUUCAACUUUCAAAGUUCGUUUUACUACAUCUUUGUAGUUGUUAAAAAGGUGAGAGGACAAGCGAGAUUGAAUUUUAUAUCCUAGACCAUGCUCAAAUCUAUUUGUUUUGCUUCUUUCAGACUCUAUAAGCUGGGGGCAAAAUCGACCUAACUUAUUAAAUUUGUUUGCAUUUUUUAGUACUGUCAUGUCAUCUUUUUGUCUUAAGAUUAAGAGCUCAUUCUCUUUUACUAAUCUAAUUGACUCAGAAACAUAUUGAUCAUAAAAUAUCUUUUUGAACUCUUUCCAUGUCAGCUGAUUAUCAUUAUUUUCAUAUACAGCCUUUACUGUAGUCCACCAAAACUCGGUGUUUUCUUUUAGCAUGGGAAUGGCUAGUCUAACAUUCACAUCCUCAGGAUACUAUAGUGCAUCAAACAUCUUUUCCAUUUCCUUAAUUCAGAUCUCUGCAACUAAAGGGUCAGAUCCACCUUCAAACAAUGGUGAGUUAAGCCUUCUAAACCUUUCAUAAUAUAACUCUAAAGAUGGUGUAGGUCGAGAAGUGGCUUGUGUUUGCUGUUGCUUAAGAAGGUGGGCUACUGCUUGGCAUAUUCCAGUAAUGUCUGUCUGAGUGGCUGGUGCAUUAGGGAUCUGCUCAAUCGAUUGGUUCGCAACUCCCCUCAUCUUUCUUGCUCUCUUUCUAGUGGCAUGGUUCGCCAAGAUUUCAUUUUCUCUGUUGCUCAUCAUCACCUAUAAAAAAAUACUAACCUUAAUCAACUUUCUUUAAUGAGCAACGGAAACUCCAAGAAAACUAUCUAUUCUCAUUCAAUAAAAUAUGAUCUAGCUAAACAAGACCUAAUUACCCCAUUGCUAGAGUUCUACCUAUGAUCAAUCCUAUUGCUCUGAUACUAUAAAAUGUCACGCCCUAAAUUCGAGACAUAACACGGCUAUACUAUCGAGAGAUGGGUCCUACGAUAACAUGAAGUCAAUCAAUCAUAAUUAGCUAAAAUCAAUCAAAAAUAAGUUAUAGUAAAAGAUUCAAUUCUAUUAUUCAUCGAGCAAAUAAACCAAAACUAGUUCAGGACAUCUAAAUCUCAAAAUGAAAUGCCAAAACCAUAUGUCAAAAUUCAUCAAUAAUUGAUUACAUAUCCAUGAUCAUCAAAUAAACCAAAUGUCGGCUAUAAAAUUUUCAAGCUUGCAAUGCAGAUCCUCAAGCCUGCAUCCUUUAUCGGUCCUAAUUUUUUUCUUCUGUAAAAAAAAAAUAAAAACAUAUAAGCUACACUAGCUCAGUAAGUAAACCUUACACUAUCUGAUCCGGAUCAAGCAUAAGGUUAUACAUGCAUCAAUAAAUCACUUAAAGAAUAUGAUGAUCAUUAGAAUAUAAAACUUUCGAAAUAGUAUAUCAUAAAUAAAUCAUACUCUUACAUAUGCAUAAAUCAUGUAAUUUUCAUAAACAUAGUUUCUAAUGUCAUUUUACAAUCAAUCAUAAAUUUAUAAAUCAUAUUAACUUUAUCAAUAAAGUCAGAAAUCAUUUGUUUUUUUGUCAUAUCAUACUUCUUAAUAAUUCUCUUAAACUAAAUGCUAAAGUCACUAUUAUACUCGUGACAGGGCCAUAAUCAUGUACCUACUAUUAUCCGUUGUCUAGGUCGUAUACCAACUACUAUUAUCCAUUGGCAGGGUUGUAUGCCAAUUGCUAUUAUCCAUUGGUAGGGUCAUAUGCCAAUUAUUGUUACCUAUUGGCAGGGUCAUGUACCAAUUACUAUGAUCCAUUGGCAGGAUCGUACAUAGCUAUCUGGGAGUCUUUUUUCAUGUUUCUUAAAAUAAGCAUUCUUAAAUCAUAUUUCAUCGAAUCAUAUUUUUUUAAAUCAUACAUAAAUAAGAUACUAGAUAAUUUCAUAAAAUUUAUGAUCUAAAAAUAAUUUUUAACAGUAAAACAAUUGUAAAUUAUUCUUUUCAUAACAAGACAUAUAUUUCAUAAAUAUGGAGUUCAUAUUUCAUAAAAAGUCAUUCAUAUUAAAAUAUUUAUAAAUCAUUAUUUUACCAUGAAUCAUAAAUUUCACAAUGCAUACACUUGAUUUUUAUUUUAUGAAAAUGCAGAAUAAUUUUUUUCAUGAUAAAAUAGUCGAUAAUUUCAAAAGUAAGAAGUGUCGGGAUUACUUAUCUCUUCCGUUCUAGUCCUUCAAACUUCACUUGAUGAAUUUAUCAAACCUAUUUAACAUAUUAAAAGCAUAAUUAAUUUUUAUUUGAUAAAUUCAAUCAUAAAGAAAGAAAACUGUAGGUUGGGUGGUUGGUUCAAUAGCCUGAACGGAUAUCGGGGCAAUUCAAGACCUCCUAACCGAGGAUUAGAUUUAGGUGACCCGAUUAAAGAAUCAUGAAGCAUGAAUUGGAAUCAAGGUCAAGAUCAAUCAACAGGCUCAUCAAUAGUAGGUUUCAAGGGUAUUUGACAUGGUCGGGAUAGGGUUCGACAUGUUGCACGGAUAUCGAAGCAUUUUUCGGCUUUUUGGAAACAUCAUUUUAGGUUCAUAUAUGGACCCAGAGAAGAGAAAAAUAUGAUUCAGUACAGGAUUCAUAGGUCUUCUUAGAGAGUAGGUGAAGAGAAAAUAGAGAGAAAAUGGAGAGAAUUUUCGUAUUUCUCAAAAGAGAAAUCCAUGGUCAAAAUCAUCAGGGGUCAUAUUAUGGUGAUUUAAAGGAGGUUAACAGUGAUCGAAUUUAUAAAUAUCUGUUAAAGAUCGGAUUGAGAUCCGAUCCACUGCACGAAUAUCAAAGCAAUUUGGGGUCUCCUUGAAAAAUAAUCUUAGGUUCAUAGUGGGGUUUAUUGAUUAGUUAGAAAGAGGAAG
rnacentral:lncRNA from 1 species